ACAAACCUUGUGUGGUGUCUUAACAGUCCAACAGACUAAGGGAUAGAUAAAGGUGGAUCUUGAUUAAACUGCCUGGUUUUGUGGUUUGCACGAGACGGUUGACACAAUGAUCUGAAGUUUAAACUGCCAUAUUCUACUGUCCGCUGCGAGAUCUUGGCUGGAAUGUAAAAGGAAUGUCCAAAAUAUUUAAAUGACAAACAGGAUGAGAACUGAUUAUGAGGAAUAUGCUGAAACAGACAUCUGGCAUAUUCCUAUAAUCAGUAUCAUGGCCUUUGUAUACAACAAAAUUGAUUGGAACUCCUAGACUAGAAAUAUAAUUCAAGAUUUAAAUAAGGCACUGGUCAUAGUUUUAGAAAGUGUGGCUAGCAUUCUGAAGGAAGACAGAGAGAUGGGAAGACAUCAAAGAAUGGACAGGUCUGCCAUGAAAUGGUUUAUCCAGGGCUAAGUACAGAGAGGAAUAUAGAAAGGCUGUUGACAGAUCUUGUGUGGUG